rnacentral:rRNA from 1 species
ACUGACAGCCAUGGUUACCGCGGCUGCUGGCACGGAGUUAGCCGGUGCUUCUUCUGUGAGUGAUGUCCUUCCUGCCGGCUAUUAACCCGCAGGCCUUCUUCCUCACUGAAAGUGCUUUACAACCCGAAGGCCUUCUUCACACACGCGGCAUGGCUGGAUCAGGGUUGCCCCCAUUGUCCAAUAUUCCCCACUGCUGCCUCCCGUAGGAGUCUGGGCCGUGUCUCAGUCCCAGUGUGGCUGAUCAUCCUCUCAGACCAGCUACGGAUCGUCGCCUUGGUGAGCCGUUACCUCACCAACCAGCUAAUCCGACAUAGGCUCAUCCGAUAGCGCGAGGCCCGAAGGUCCCCCGCUUUCCCCCGUAGGGCGUAUGCGGUAUUAGCCUGGGUUUCCCCAGGUUAUCCCCCACUACCGGGCAGAUUCCUAUGCAUUACUCACCCGUCCGACGCUCGCCACCAGGGAGCAAGCUCCCCGUGCUGCCGCUCGACUUGCAUGUGUUAGGCCUGCCGCCAGCGUUCAAU